AGCAAAAUGUCCUUGUCUGCCUUCUCUUAUUGAAAAGAAGACUAAACAGUAUUUCAGGAAUGUGUUAGAAGGUUAGCUUAUUAUUCUAAGAGAAAGGAUAGGAAAAAUACCAGGGGAAACUGCUUUGGAAAAGAAGAAUAAGCAGGUGAAUUUCACCAGAUGGGACUGUGAGAUCUGAAAAAGAAAAAUGAAGAUAGAGAUGAACAAGAUACUUUCAUGAUGAUUAUAUCCUCACUCUUUUUUUCUGGGACCUACACAUCUCAGCCAUUGCCCCACAGUCCUACACAGCUGAUGAACUGUCUUGCAGCUGUUGGCCUCUUCUCCUUGCCAUACAGUAAUGUAACAAUAAGUGUUAAAUAGAGUCACAGAAACACAGAAUUACUGACUUUGGAAAAGACCACUGGGAUCAUCGAAUGCAACCACUAACACAGCUCUGACAGGCCCACCAAUAAACCAUGUUCCUAAGCACCACAUUUUUUGAAUAAAGACCAAGACAUCUUGCAGGAUAGACAGGUUGGAUCCAAAUGCUUUUUCUUUCAACAGAUUGUGCAUUUCUUCAUGCCCAUUUCCUACAUGUAAGUAUUCUUACAAGGCAUGACUUCAAUUUUCGAUUUUCACAGCACUGAAAAGCAGUUUCUCAAAUCCCGAAUUAUGCACAGUCCAUGCACAAAUUAUUCUGGUAAUAGCAAAGGGAUUAUAUAAAAAAUGUAAAAGACUGAGUAAACAAGUAGCUCCUAGUUAAAAAUCUGAACCUCUCUUUGGCUUUAGGGCAAGCAGUUCCCCUCGAAUGUGCAUCCAAUUGAAUCAUUUACCCCUCUGAGGAAGUGGUUUUUUUACAAGGAAAUGGUCCUCAGAAUCUCAGAACAAGACAGUGAUUUAGAGAUGUAUGCCUGUGUAUCUCUCCAGCCAUCACCUAUGCAUAUUUACUUGUUGGUGGUAGAACCAGAGGAGUUCCCAAGGCCUGUCCAGAUGUGUUUUUCUAUUAGAAGAGGCCAAUCAGGAACCAAUUUUGGAGGCUCUGAGUAUCUCCUGCUGCCACUCCAAAAACAGCUUGCUGAGAGAUCAACUCCUCUGAAAAUCCUGUUCUUCAGGUUUACUGCCCCCAAGAGAAGUGCAAUGGUUUACAUUAAAGCCAUUUAAAAGCAA